rnacentral:misc_RNA from 1 species
GAUGAAGAACGUAGUGAAAUGCGAUAAGUAAUGCGAAUUGCAGAAUUCCAGUGAGUCAUCGAAUCUUUGAACGCACAUUGCGCCCUUUGGUAUUCCGAAGGGCAUGCCUGUUCGAGCGUCAUUAUCACCCCUCAAGCCCUCGGCUUGGUGUUGGACGGUUUGGUGGAGGCCCCCUCGGGGGCUCCUGCCCCUCCUAAAGACAAUGACGGCGGCCUCGUUGGACCCCCGGUACACUGAGUUCUUCACGGGACACGUAUCGGACACAUGGGUUUACGGGACACGGUCUGCCUCCCCUCAGGGAGAAUCUUUCUAAGGUUGACCUCGGAUCAGGUAGGGAUACCCGCUGAACUUAGGCAUAUCAAUAAGCGGAGGA